UCGAGAAUUUUUGACAAUGGGGGAAACCCUGAUCGAGCGACGCCGCGUGGAGGAUGAAGGUCUUCGGAUUGUAAACUCCUGUCAUUUGGGAACAAGGUGCACACGUUAACUGCGUGAGUAUUGAUAGUACCAGAAGAGGAAGAGACGGCUAACUCUGUGCCAGCAGCCGCGGUAAUACAGAGGUCUCAAGCGUUGUUCGGAUUCAUUGGGCGUAAAGGGUGCGUAGGCGGCGCGGUAAGUCGGGUGUGAAAUCUCGGGGCUUAACUCCGAAACUGCAUUCGAUACUGCCGUGCUUGAGGACUGGAGAGGAGACUGGAAUUUACGGUGUAGCGGUGAAAUGCGUAGAUAUCGUAAGGAAGACCAGUGGCGAAGGCGGGUCUCUGGACAGUUCCUGACGCUGAGGCACGAAGGUCAGGGGAGCAAACG
rnacentral:rRNA from 1 species